GCAAGUCGAACGGCAGCACGGACUUCGGUCUGGUGGCGAGUGGCGAACGGGUGAGUAAUACAUCGGAACGUACCCAGUAGAGGGGGAUAACGCAGCGAAAGCUGCGCUAAUACCGCAUACGCCCUAAGGGGGAAAGCGGGGGAUCUUCGGACCUCGUGCUAUUGGAGCGGCCGAUGGCUGAUUAGCUAGUUGGUGGGGUAAAGGCCUACCAAGGCGACGAUCAGUAGCUGGUCUGAGAGGACGAUC
rnacentral:rRNA from 1 species